rnacentral:lncRNA from 1 species
CCCACCUUCUCUGCCACCCAUGCCAACCUAGUCCUCUUCGCCCGCCUCCAGACCGGCUCCAUCGACCCCAAAAGCAAGGGACUCAACUCCCUCCUCUAGCUCCUCACUUCCGAUCCACCUAUAUCCAGCACCUCCCCUGACUUCUAUUCUCUACCUGAGGCCUCUAAUCUGAACCAACCCAAUUGAAUCGGGCCAUAAUGACUAAAGUGGCUCAACUAAUUAUGGUCAAGUUGGAUGGGGCCAAUUACAACUAAUGGUCCUUCAUGAUGAAGAUUUUUCUAAAAGGAUGGGAGCUUUGGAAGUAUGUUAUUGGUGACAUUCCAUGUCC